GCCCAGAUAGCUCAGCAGGUAGAGCACGUCCUUGGUAAGGACGAGGUCACCAGUUCGAGUCUGGUUCUGGGCU
rnacentral:tRNA from 1 species